UACGGAGGAUGCGAGCGCUAUCCGGAUUUAUUGGGUUUAAAGGGUGCGUAGGCGGUCCGUUAAGUCAGCGGUAAAAUUGCGGGGCUCAACCCCGUCGAGCCGUUGAAACUGGCAGACUUGAGUUGGCGAGAAGUACGCGGAAUGCGCGGUGUAGCGGUGAAAUGCAUAGAUAUCGCGCAGAACUCCGAUUGCGAAGGCAGCGUACCGGCGCCAGACUGACGCUGAGGCACGAAAGCGUGGGGAUCGAACAGG
rnacentral:rRNA from 1 species